rnacentral:rRNA from 1 species
CACGUAGGGGGCGAGCGUUGUCCGGAUUUAUUGGGCGUAAAGAGCUCGUAGGCGGCUCGGUAAGUGAGGUGUGAAAACUCCAGGCUCAACCUGGAGACGCCACCUCAUACUGCCGUGGCUAGAGUCCGGGAGGGGUAGCGGAAUUCCCAGUGUAGCGGUGAAAUGCGUAGAUAUUGGGAGGAACACCAGUGGCGAAGGCGGCUACCUGGACCGGAACUGACGCUGAGGCGCGAAAGCGUGGGUAGCAAACAGG